rnacentral:rRNA from 1 species
GCUAGCAUAUCAAUAAGCGGAGGAAAAGAAACCAACAGGGAUUGCCCUAGUAACGGCGAGUGAAGCGGCAACAGCUCAAAUUUGAAAUCUGGCUCUUUCAGGGUCCGAGUUGUAAUUUGCAGAGGGUGCUUUGGUGUUGGCGGCGGUCUAAGUUCCUUGGAACAGGACAUCGCAGAGGGUGAGAAUCCCGUAUGUGGUCGCCUGCCUUCGCCGUGUAAAGCCCCUUCGACGAGUCGAGUUGUUUGGGAAUGCAGCUCUAAAUGGGAGGUAAAUUUCUUCUAAAGCUAAAUACCGGCCAGAGACCGAUAGCGCACAAGUAGAGUGAUCGAAAGAUGAAAAGCACUUUGGAAAGAGAGUCAAACAGCACGUGAAAUUGUUAAAAGGGAAGCGCUUGCAGCCAGACUUGCCUGUAGUUGCUCGCCUGGGCUUUUGCCCGGGUUACUCUUCUGCAGGCAGGCCAGCAUCAGUUUGGGCGGUCGGAUAAAGGUCCCUUUCACGUAUCUCCCUUCGGGGUUAACAUAUAGGGGGGACGUAAUGCGACCAGCCUGGACUGAGGUCCGCGCAUCUGCUAGGAUGCUGGCGUAAUGGCUGUAAGCGGCCCGUCUUGAAACACGGACCAAGGAGUCUAACAUCUAUGCGAGUGUUUGGGUGUCAAGCCCGAGCGCGUAAUGAAAGUGAACGGAGGUGGGAACCCCUCGGGGCGCACCAUCGACCGAUCCUGAUGUCUUCGGAUGGAUUUGAGUAAGAGCAUAGCUGUUGGGACCCGAAAGAUGGUGAACUAUGCUUGAAUAGGGUGAAGCCAGAGGAAACUCUGGUGGAGGCUCGCAGCGGUUCUGACGUGCAAAUCGAUCGUCAAAUUUGGGCAUAGGGGCGAAAGACUAAUCGAACUAUCUAGUAGCUGGGUUCCUGCCGAGUCU